UUAUCUCCACUGCAGGUCCCGCCUGAUUAAACUGCUUAUAUUUAGAUGAAAGUCGGUGUGGCUGCAUCUUUUACACAGGUGGCAGUGGCCAGAGGUGCCGAUCUCUGGUGGCACAGGGAACACAGCUAAGCUGAUGACGAUAAUCACCAACAAUGGAAAACACCUUCUUCAUUAAACUGUGAACAGGCUUGAUGGUGAUGAACCCAUUUGGCCUGCAGAGGGACAGAAUCAGCAGUCUUGCCUCUUCUUGGGACUUGCCACCACCACUCCUUCAGUUGUGGGUAUGGUGUGAAAAUCCUACUCGCAGGGUCAAUGUGGAGCACCUCUUCCACAGUUAAGAUUUCUCCAGUCAAGCAAUUGCAUUGCAGCUCACAUAACUGGAGAAGUCUUCAUUGUGGAAGAUGAGAUGCUCUACAUUAACACCUUUGACUUUGAUCCUUCUUAGGACCCAGUUGGUAGUGUGUGGCAUUCACGUGGACAGCAAAGCAAGAAUGUUGUUGUAGAGGGAAACACGUUGACAAGGUUCAUCGUGUAACUGGCUAAUUUUAAAAGUAAUGUUCAUUGCUUGGUUGUGUCAGUUCUGCUUCAUGUCCUUUGUCACCAGUUAAGAACCAGAAA